GGAAUCUCUCUCAAACAUAAGUGUCA
rnacentral:piRNA from 1 species